CCUACGGGGGGCAGCAGUGAGGAAUAUUGGUCAAUGGGCGGAAGCCUGAACCAGCCAAGUCGCGUGAAGGAAGAAGGUACUUAGUAUUGUAAACUUCUUUUGUCGGGGAACAAAGGCGGAGACGAGUAUCCGGAUGAGUGUACCCGAAGAAAAAGCAUCGGCUAACGCCGUGCCAGCAGCGGCGGUAAUACGGAGGAUGCGAGCGUUAUCCGGAUUUAUUGGGUUUAAGGGGUGCGCAGGCGGGAGAUCAAGUCAGCGGUAAAAUGUCGGGGCUCAACCCCGGCCGGCCGUUGAAACUGGUUUUCUUGAGUGAUGGAGAGGCAGGCGGAAUUCCGUGUGUAGCGGUGAAAUGCGUAGAUAUACGGAGGAACACCAGUGGCGAAGGCGGCCUGCUGGACAUUAACUGACGCUGAGGCGCGAAAGCGUGGGGAGCAAACAGGAUUAGAUACCCCAGUAGUC
rnacentral:rRNA from 1 species